rnacentral:piRNA from 1 species
CACCACCGAGUGGCUGUACGAAAUGGAGA